UGUUUAGAGCAACCAGUUGAACGAUUGACUGAACAAUACUUACUCAUGAUUGGGAGUAGAAGAAUCUACAAUACAACGUUUACAGAAUGGAUAAAAGUAAUCUGUGAGAUCCAGCAUCUUAAAUGAUAUAUAUAGUUAAUUUUAGCAAGACUUUUUAAGGAGAAUCAAAGAUCGUGAUGUGCGUGUGGUUUGUGAUCUUCGUGUGCUUCCAUAUAUCCCUGGUUAUAUUUCCAGCAUCUGGAGGAAUACGAAGGAAUUCGACACUCAAACGCCUAGUUAUUCCAUCUAAAAGUGUACCGUAUGUUGUACAAAAACCUCCUGCGAAACGAAUGAUGAGCAAGCAGAAGAAAUCGUUUUCGUGGAACACUGGAGGUGGUGGAAAUGGCGCUGGUGGCGGCGGAGGGAGUAGUUGGCAGAGCCAAUGGGGUGGUGGCGGAGGAGGACAGGCAGGUGGAGGUGGACAUGGAGGUGGUGGUGAU